CACGGGGGCAACCCUGGUGGCGAGUGGCGAACGGGUGAGUAAUACAUCGGAACGUGCCCAGUAGUGGGGGAUAGCUCGGCGAAAGCCGGAUUAAUACCGCAUACGACCUAUGGGUGAAAGCGGGGGAUCGCAAGACCUCGCGCUAUUGGAGCGGCCGAUGUCAGAUUAGGUUGUUGGUGGGGUAAUGGCCUACCAAGCCGACGAUCUGUAGCUGGUCUGAGAGGACGACCAGCCACACUGGGACUGAGACACGGCCCAGACUCCUACGGGAGGCAGCAGUGGGGAAUUUUGGACAAUGGGCGAAAGCCUGAUCCAGCCAUGCCGCGUGCGGGAAGAAGGCCUUCGGG
rnacentral:rRNA from 1 species